UGGCUGGUGAGUAGACAAGCGGUAAGAGAGAAACACAGACACAUGUGCUGUGGGGACUUGUGUCAGGCCCCUCAGUGGUCACGGCAGAGCUGGGGGUGAGAGGACAAGGCAGGCAGCCCAUGGGCUGAGUGCAAGGGGUUCUGGAGUCUGCUCUCCCCACAACCAUGUUCCAGCACAGGAAUCUGAGGAGGGUGAGAAUUCUACAUUCAAACUUGACCUUACUAAGGCCAUUACUAAGACUUCCUUGUCAAGCGAGGAGGCUAGAACACAGCUGCAACAGACUUAGACACAAGCCUCUCAGAUAUGUGCCAGCACACUUGGCAAGAGGACCUAUGACACAGAGGUGCCCCAGAGGCCAGCAAUGUUCCCUGGAAGUAGCACACCAAGAGAUGACAGAGAACAAACCAGCGAUCUGUCAGCAUCUGUCCGAUGGGGCUGUAGCUCCCCACCACCACCACCACAUACACACCUAGGACCCUUCUCUGUUCCUCUCCACUCUCCCUGGUCUGGUGCAGAUCACGCCCCA
rnacentral:lncRNA from 1 species